UAUCUAUAUAUUUUAAUGAUGCCAGUGCUUCUCUCAAACCAAGGAAAAAAGCGGAAUACUGAUGUCGGGUGUCCAAAGAUUUGUCAAGAAAGACCCGACUAUCCUAUUCAAUUUUAGGCCUUCCGUCAUCAUCAAUAUGAAUAAUCUUCCUAUGAUAUGAAUAAUUAGGAACAAAUCCUUCUUUGUCCCUUUUACUUUGGUAAAGGUUAUCUUUACCAAAUGCAGAACAUCUAAAAUAAAGUAAUUAUUAAUAGUAAGGUUUUAAAUUCUAUAAGACAAAAUUAUCCUAUUUUUCCUAUAGAAUGGGAUGUGUGGCUAUCCAACCUUAUCCCGAUAUUUUGGAAAGGAGUUUUUUCAAGAUAUGCCGAUUUGAACGCUAAGAUGAUAGUGAAAUGAUUAUGGCCCAACAAAUGAGAUGGUACCACA
rnacentral:lncRNA from 1 species